ACAACUUUCAGCAACGGAUCUCUUGGCUCUCGCAUCGAUGAAGAACGCAGCGAAAUGCGAUAAGUAAUGUGAAUUGCAGAAUUCAGUGAAUCAUCGAAUCUUUGAACGCACCUUGCGCUCCUUGGUAUUCCGAGGAGCAUGCCUGUUUGAGUGUCAUUAAAUUCUCA
rnacentral:rRNA from 1 species